UCCUGCCUCUAUAUAACCAAUGAGUAAACAAAGCAAUAAGCAUACUGGAAUAGAACAGGACAACCACAGGCAUACCAACAUUGUUCUUCUCCACAUGGCGACCGUCAAGAGCAACACAACGAGGGCUAUGUGUGCUGCUCUUUGCAUUCUUGUGAUGGUGCCUUCAGCCGUAUUAGCUGAACUCGUGGUGGGUAUGUAUAUCUAACAGCUUUUGCACUUACCAUGGCCUCGUUACAGCCGUGCAUGUUUUCUAAGUGAGAUGUGGAUCCCAUGCACUUGCAGUUGAUCGAGUUCAUAUUCCUAUGGACCAAUGCUCUUAUCAGAAAUGCAUCACAGAAUGUAUACAUAGGAUCAGAAGGGCUUACAUACUUGUAGAGGGAUACUGCGAGACAACUAAGAUGUGUUUCUGCAAAUAUUCUGAGGAACGACAUCCUCCCACGUUGGAAUAGUUGCUGCUGCAGAGGAUGAUAUGAUAAUGGAUUUAGU
rnacentral:lncRNA from 1 species